CCCAAUUUUAAUUAAAGCCCAAUUUGAAUAAAUAACAUAGGCCCAAUGAAUUUAUUAAAGCCCAAGGGAGAAAUAAGUGAAAGAAGCCCAACUUUCUUCCUCCCCUCCCAAUCGGUCCUCUCUCUCUAUACUCUCAAAAUCGAUCUCUCUCUCUAUACUCUCAAAAUCAGCCGAGCUCUCCCUCACUUUCAGUUCAGUCGAGCUCUCUCCAAUGAGGGGCUUGCCGCCGCGGCUCCGAAAUCCGGCGAGUCGACAGCCGGACGAACCUUCUCCCCUCAUCUCACUUUCUCCUCAGUUCGCCAUAUCAGCCAGCCCUAACUCACGGUCCAAGCCAUCCUCCCUCUCUCGUCUCUCUUUUUCUCCAAGACAGGAGCGCCGCUUUCUUCUCUGGUCGCCUUCGCCACCGGCGAGGCCGGCGCCUUUCCUCCGGCAUCGGUACCAUUCUUCUUCCCUCUCCUCUCUUUUCUGAAUCAGCACAAGCUCAACACAAGGGCGAGCCCUAAUUUCUUCUCCAUUACAGACCAUGCCACCGCCACCCUGCAAUUUUCAGCGAGCGGUCGACUUUCCACUUCAUUCCUGACGCCGUGUCCUUCGUCCGCCUUAUCUUCUCUUUCACGCGCACACAAUCGAGGGGAAGGUUGAGCCCUAGUUCUUUAGGUUCAGGCGAAAUCGCCGUCGCCGCCUGGUCUCCUCCGGCGAGGCAGUUAAUUAGAGCAGGGCGGCGUCCGUUGCUCCCCCCCUUUUCACUCGCGUACACGAACGAGGGAAAGGCCAAACCUUCAGUCCUCUUAGCUCAGGCGAGAGAGUCACCGCCGUCUGCCCUCUGGUUCAACGGAACAGACAAGUCGCCCCCUUUUCGAUUUAUUGAAUCAGGAGGUACUAAAGAGGAAUGGAGGAAAUUCGAAUCAAGACUUACCUCUCAAGGUUUGGCAGCAGAAAUCAUCUUACUCUCUCUCAAAUCUGGUGUCUAAAAUCUGGUGUCUAAGGGAAUGAAUGAAGAGUGUUGUUGGCUGAUAUGUUUAUUUGAAGGAGUGCAUUAAUGGCUAUACUUGAGUAGUCUACUAAAAUGGCUGAUUUUGUUCCCACACGCAUGCCUUCCCUUUUCUUUUCUUGAUGUAGUAGGUAGGAAGUUUGGUUUGUUUUCUUGAUGUAGUAGGUAGGAAAUAGGGAUGUAGUGAAUAAUAAGUUGUAAAGUUGUGAUGUGAUGAAUAAAAUAAAUCAUUCUCUGUUGGUAAA